rnacentral:rRNA from 1 species
CUAAGCAUAUCAAUAAGCGGAGGAAAAGAAACCAACAGGGAUUGCCCUAGUAACGGCGAGUGAAGCGGCAACAGCUCAAAUUUGAAAUCUGGCUCUCUUUGGGGGUCCGAGUUGUAAUUUGCAGAGGAUGCUUUGGCAUUGGCGGCGGUCUAAGUUCCUUGGAACAGGACAUCGCAGAGGGUGAGAAUCCCGUACGUGGGCGCCUGCCUUUGCCGUGUAAAGCUCCUUCGACGAGUCGAGUUGUUUGGGAAUGCAGCUCUAAAUGGGAGGUAAAUUUCUUCUAAAGCUAAAUACCGGCCAGAGACCGAUAGCGCACAAGUAGAGUGAUCGAAAGAUGAAAAGUACUUUGGAAAGAGAGUCAAAAAGCACGUGAAAUUGUUGAAAGGGAAGCGCUUGCAGCCAGACUUGCCCGCAGUUGCUCACCUAGGCUUUGGCCUGGGGCACUCUUCUGCGGGCAGGCCAGCAUCAGUUUGGGCGGUUGGAUAAAGGCCUCUGUCACGUAUCUUCCUUCGGGAUGACCUUAUAGGGGAGGCGUAAUGCAACCAGCCCGGACUGAGGUCCGCGCAUCUGCUAGGAUGCUGGCGUAAUGGCUGUAAGCGGCCCGUCUUGAAACACGGACCAAGGAGUCUAACAUCUAUGCGAGUGUUUGGGUGUCAAGCCCGGGCGCGCAAUGAAAGUGAACGGAGGUGGGAACCCUUUGGGUGCACCAUCGACCGAUCCUGAUGUCUUCGGAUGGAUUUGAGUAAGAGCAUAGCUGUUGGGACCCGAAAGAUGGUGAACUAUGCUUGAAUAGGGUGAAGCCAGAGGAAACUCUGGUGGAGGCUCGCAGCGGUUCUGACGUGCAAAUCGAUCGUCAAAUUUGGGCAUAGGGGCGAAAGACUAAUCGAACCAU